rnacentral:rRNA from 1 species
AGAGUUUGAUCCUGGCUCAGAAUGAACGCUGGCGGCGUGCCUAACACAUGCAAGUCGAACGAGAAAGGUAGCAAUACUAAGUACAGUGGCGCACGGGUGAGAAACGCGUGAGAAUCUCCCUCUAAGUGAAGAAUACCUUGGAGAAAUCCAAGUUAAUACUGCAUAAGCCCGCAAGGGGAAAGGUGGCCUCAAGCUACCGC